rnacentral:rRNA from 1 species
AGAGUUUGAUCAUGGCUCAGGAUGAACGCUAGCGGCAGGCCUAAUACAUGCAAGUCGAGGGAGAAGUUUAAUGCUUGCAUUAAACAGAAACCGGCGCACGGGUGCGUAACACGUAUGCAACCUACCUUUAACUGGGGUAUAGCUUGAAGAAAUUCAAAUUAAUCCCCCAUAAUAUAUUGGAAUCGCAUGAUUACAAUAUCAAAGCUCCGGCGGUUAAAGAUGGGCAUGCGUCCCAUUAGUUAGUUGGUGAGGUAACGGCUCACCAAGACCGCGAUGGGUAGCGGGUUUGAGAGGAUGAUCCGCCACACUGGUACUGAGACACGGACCAGACUCCUACGGGAGGCAGCAGUAGGGAAUUUUGGGCAAUGGACGAAAGUCUGACCCAGCCAUGCCGCGUGCAGGAAGACAGCCCUAUGGGUCGUAAACUGCUUUUAUAUAGGAAGAAACCCCUUGUUUCUACAAGGGCUGACGGUACUAUACGAAUAAGGAUCGGCUAACUCCGUGCCAGCAGCCGCGGUAAUACGGAGGAUCCAAGCGUUGUCCGGAUUUAUUGGGUUUAAAGGGUGCGUAGGCGGGACAAUAAGUCAGU